AGAGCGAACGCUGGCGGCAGGCCUAACACAUGCAAGUCGAGCGCGUGUAGCAAUACACGAGCGGCAGACGGGAGAGUAACACGUGGGAACGCGCCCUUCGGUUCGGAAUAACUCAGGGAAACUUGAGCUAAUACCGGAUACGCCCUUACGGGGAAAGAUUUAUUGCCGAAGGAACGGCCCGCGUCCGAUUAGCUAGUUGGUGAGGUAACGGCUCACCAAGGCGACGAUCGGUAGCUGGUCUGAGAGGAUGACCAGCCUCACUGGGACUGAGACACGGCCCAGACUCCUACGGGAGGCAGCAGUGGGGAAUAUGGACAAUGGGCGCAAGCCUGAUCCAGCCAUGCCGCGUGGAUGAUGAAGGCCUUAGGGUUGUAAAGUCCGUUUUAACGGGGAAGAUAAUGACGGUACCCGUAGAAUAAGCCCCGGCUAACUUCGCGCCAGCAGCCGC
rnacentral:rRNA from 1 species